UUAAUUGAAACCAAAAAGAGGUAUAUCACUGUUAAUGAUAAAAAUGAGUUAUUUCUCCAAUUAAA
rnacentral:tRNA from 1 species